UAUCGACAAAACUUAAAGAUUGGCCGGGACAGGGUCUCCUUGUUGGUGAACCAUCGUUUAAAACGCACAGAUUUAACUCGUCUAUAAGCUCCACAAGAUCACUACCAAAUGAAUCAUUGACUGGUGCACCCCAAAGAGAAUGGUGUGCAUUAAAAUCACCUAAAAUUAACACAGGCGCAGGAAGAGAUAGGAUUAAAUUUCUUAAAAUCGGAAUAACAGAUGAAUCUUUGCAAGAAAUGUAUACAGACAGUACUGAAAUAUCCCCAAUUUUUGCAGCUACUGCAUUCAAGUGAUUAUUAUUGUAGGAAGGAAGUGCUAGUGAUGUAAAUAAGUAAUGUUUUUUAAUCAGUAGAGCGGCACCACCCCACCCAUCAUCUCUGUCAUCUCUCAAGACUGAAUAGCCACGAACUCUAAAGUUAUAGCCUGGCUUCAGCCAGGUUUCAGAGACAGCUAUGGCAAAUGGCUGGUGUUGGUUAAUUAAUGUAAUGAGUUCAAUUGUUUUAGACGAAAUGCUUCUACAAUUCCACUGGAGGAUUUGAUCCAUUUUUGAUAAUGUUAUAAAUAGAGACUGACAAGUUGUUAAUUAAAGAAAUGGCAACGGAGUACGGUAAUGCAGAGUUAACUAUAAUAUUAAUCAAUGAAGACAGCAGAUUAUUUAGAUCCUGAGAGGAGACAGAGUGAGAGUCCCCCGCAGAUGAGGGCUCAGACAAGAAACCACAACCAUUUUGUGGAGAUGGAAUAUGAUCAAUUAAAGACUCGUGUGCUUUCUUGUCAUAGCCUGGUUUUGAAGGUGAAGGUGAUUUGGGAGAACUAGCUGUGACAUCUGAGUAUGACUUAGUGAAUGGAAACUGUUUAGAGGCUUCUAGAUAUGAUACUGUGUUAACUGACAUAUAAUGCUUUAUGUUUUUUUGUCGUAUAAAUUCGGGACAGGUUUGUUCAUUUGCUUGAUGUUUCCCUGCACAAUUAAUGCAGGAAAUAUCUGUCUCGUCGCAAUUAGAGCCUGAGUGGUCCCCGGUGCAUUUAAAGCACCUGGGUUUGCUUCUGCAUUGAACCCUGGUAUGUCCAAAACGACAACAGUUAAAACACUGAAUUGUUGGGAAUAUGUACUGGUCAACAGGCAGUGAGGAAAAAAAGGAAUAAAUUCGGGGAGGAAGAGCUUGACCAUCGAAUGUAAGGACUACCGUCUGAGUGGGCAACCAUUUAGGGCCUUCAAGUGAUGUAACUUUGCGGCUAAGCCGGCGAGACCGAAUGAUUGGACCAAAGCCUUCAGGAACUCUUAAAUUUCCUACAAUCUCUUCAUGCGACCAUUCGCAGGGAAUGCCUUUGACAAUGCCCAUUUUGGUGAUAUUGUAUGUUGGGAUAGAUAAAACAUAAUCAUGUAAUAUAAUUGGAUUACACAAAAAUGAGUUUGCCGCACCAGGUGUUUUGAAUGUCACUGCCAAUCGAUUUCGCCCUAUUCGUUUAAUGCCAUCAUCCAAAAUAUUUUUUAAUUUAUUUCUGAAUAGAAAAUUCCCAAAUUUGAUGGGGUGAAGAGUGGAGCCAGAGUUGGGAGUUUCUUUUUGUUGGACAUGUACCAGAAAAGGACCUGCAUCCUGAUCCUGGUAAUUGUUUCUGCCUAUUAUAUGGUUAUUCUGUUGAGAAUGUUGGAUCACCGGAGCUGGAGGAGCUUGCGUUAAAAUUUCUUGAAAAGCAGUGGUAAUGUGCAUUUUAGGAGAGGAUUUGGUCUUUAAUAAAUGUUUGUUAAUUUUUUUCUGAGUUUUUCUAUUUGUUACUAGUUUAAAUGACUCAAAUUCUUUUACAUGUUGGUUAGAUAUGAAAUUAUCAGCCUCUAUUAAGGUCAAUAAAGGAUUGGACUGAGAUUGUGGAGUGGCUGGGGGAGGAUCAGGGUCAGGAGCUGGUUCCGUCUCCAUAGUUUAUAAAUAUGCAAAUGGACUUACCCCUAUAUAAUAUAUACACUAAUCACACUAAAUUACUAAUUUACAACAAUUUUUUAACAAAAUAUACACAAACUAACAAUAAAAUACGAAUUAAAUAAAAACAAAUAGACCGCCCUUUUCAACUUCCCGCCAAAAAGUCCUGUCAAAAAUUGUAUCUAAAUUUGUAUUGUUUAUUUCUUGUCAUUGCGACUUUGACGCAGCUGUUGUCAUGACAACAGAUAACAAAACAUGUUUUGUUGAAGGAUUAUUGAUGAAUAAUUUUCCACAAAAAAUUGGAUUUUAACCACGAUAGGAAAAUGAGAACCUGCGCCUAUCCGUUUAAACCGAUUGUAGAAUUUAUGGAAAGAUAUGGCGAUCUGAGUAUGCCCACUGAAGGGCACCAAGAAAGAGCCAACAAUAGUCAACGGUGGGUGGAACUAACGGACACGCGAACGUGAAAUGCUGAUGCCACCGGCGACACGAAAACUACUGAGAAAUUGAGAAAAGUGUGGAGUGACAUUAAACAGCAAGAAGAAGGCAACUCGCAUACACAGAGCUGCCAAGGGAACACUGGACUGGUGGCGCUCCAGGUUCUUCCCUGAAGCCAAAGGGAUUAGAGCAGAGUGCUUACCUACUUGUAAAUUAAAUCCAUAAUAAAGACCUAGGGUAACUGGAUGGAUAUACCUACCUUAUUAUUGUAAAACUUAAGAUAUUAUAAUUAAUUAAAUACA